GGGGGGCGGGCCUAAACAUGCAGUCGAGCGAAUGGAUUAAGAGCUUGCUCUUAUGAAGUUAGCGGCGGACGGGUGAGUAACACGUGGGUAACCUGCCCAUAAGACUGGGAUAACUCCGGGAAACCGGGGCUAAUACCGGAUAACAUUUUGAACCGCAUGGUUCGAAAUUGAAAGGCGGCUUCGGCUGUCACUUAUGGAUGGACCCGCGUCGCAUUAGCUAGUUGGUGAGGUAACGGCUCACCAAGGCAACGAUGCGUAGCCGACCUGAGAGGGUGAUCGGCCACACUGGGACUGAGACACGGCCCAGACUCCUACGGGAGGCAGCAGUAGGGAAUCUUCCGCAAUGGACGAAAGUCUGACGGAGCAACGCCGCGUGAGUGAUGAAGGCUUUCGGGUCGUAAAACUCUGUUGUUAGGGAAGAACAAGUGCUAGUUGAAUAAGCUGGCACCUUGACGGUACCUAACCAGAAAGCCACGGCUAACUACGUGCCAGCAGCCGCGGUAAUACGUAGGUGGCAAGCGUUAUCCGGAAUUAUUGGGCGUAAAGCGCGCGCAGGUGGUUUCUUAAGUCUGAUGUGAAAGCCCACGGCUCAACCGUGGAGGGUCAUUGGAAACUGGGAGACUUGAGUGCAGAAGAGGAAAGUGGAAUUCCAUGUGUAGCGGUGAAAUGCGUAGAGAUAUGGAGGAACACCAGUGGCGAAGGCGACUUUCUGGUCUGUAACUGACACUGAGGCGCGAAAGCGUGGGGAGCAAACAGGAUUAGAUA
rnacentral:rRNA from 1 species